rnacentral:lncRNA from 1 species
UAAUAUUAACUCACAUAAUAACAUUGAGUUCUUCUUCUGGGCCAGGUAAUGUCCUGAGAGUUUCCUGAGGCUGAACUCAUUUCACAAUAACAGUUACAGCACCAUGACCAACAACAACCACACCAUAAGGCACUGUUCUAGUCACUGGGACUACAGGAGGGAACAGAACAGACAGAAAUCCCUGCUGUCAUGGGGCUUAUUUUCUAAGGAGAGAGAUGUGACUAUAAACAAGUAUGACAUAAGAUGGCGGGACAAAGAUGAAGUAUUAGCUGGAGUGCGCCUUUAACUCAAGGAGUUGAUUUAGAACCAAAACUUUCUAGAAGGAACUUGGAUGGACUAUACUAUGGCCAAACACCCCUGUCCUUUUUCCUCUGUGGGGUAAGUAGUUUGCAUUAAGUCUCCUUCCACCCCCAGUGCAGUUGGCUAUGUCAGGUAAACCACAAUAAAAC